rnacentral:rRNA from 1 species
CGCUGGCGGCGUGCUUAACACAUGCAAGUCGAACGGAGAUUAUUAAUGAAGCUUGCGAUUUAAUAAUCUUAGUGGCGGACGGGUGAGUAACGCGUGGGCAACCUACCCAUAAGCGGGGGAUAACAGUUGGAAACGACUGCUAAUACCGCAUAAGCUAUUGAGGUCGCAUGACCUAAAUAGUAAAGGUGGCGAAAGCUAUCACUUAUGGAUGGGCCCGCGUCUGAUUAGCUAGUUGGUGGGAUAGCAGCCUACCAAGGCAACGAUCAGUAGCCGGCCUGAGAGGGUGGACGGCCACACUGGGACUGAGACACGGCCCAGACUCCUACGGGAGGCAGCAGUGGGGAAUAUUGCGCAAUGGGGGAAACCCUGACGCAGCGACGCCGCGUGAGCGAAGAAAAGGCCUUAGGGUCGUAAAGCUCUGUUGUAAGGGACGAAUGUUUAUCUGGCGAACAGUCAGAUAAAGUGACGGUACCUUACCAGCAAGCCCCGGCUAACUACGUGCCAGCAGCAGC